AUUUGUUUCCCUGUUUCCCAGGGCUCCAGCUCCAGCUCCUGAGCCCAGCUUGUCUCUGGGCUUCCUUGACGGGAAAGGUGGACAGAAAAGUCCACCUAGAUGUCCCGAGCACUCGGCUGUGUUGUGACUUUCUAGACCAAGAGCUGUUCCCUGCGACUUUCUCUGACCACUGUUGAUCCCAGAGGCCUCUGUGUUCCGAGUGAGUCCAAGGAGGGCUUCUCCAGCAGAGCCAGCCUGGGGUACGGUGUAGCCCCACACUGCAGGGACACUCAAGUUCCAGCCUUCCUCUGAAGAAAUUAAACUCAAGUCCUUCGAUCACUCCAGCACGUCAGUGACCAGAAUGCACGCAGGGCAGAGCCAGGACUUUACACGUGCAAAUCUCCUGGCG
rnacentral:lncRNA from 1 species